AUGCUCUUAUUCCUCCAUUUGGCAGGACUCCCUGGCGCGUGAGGAAGGAAAGCCGAGCAACCCAGCGGCGGAGCCGACGCGGCGGUUUUCUCUUCGGCGGCGGCGACACCGACGCGGCGGGCCUCCUCUCCAGCGGCGGCCCUCCUCUCCUCUCCGAAUGGAGGGGACUGAGGGAGGGAGGAACGGAGAUGUUUGAGCUCGGGGAGGUAGAGAUUCUCCUCUCAUAUCGCUAGGGUUUUUGAUAGAUCGAUGCUAUUGUUUCCCCUUUGGACUAGGUUUUUGGAUGGACUGAUGGGAUCGAUUCGUGAUGAACAACGGCAGGAGGGGACUGAGGAAGGGAGGAAGCGAGAUGUUUGAGCUCGGGGAGCAAAUGGCGAAAACUAUAACCGCUGCUCUGCGAGAGUCUAAGCUCAUAGCCUCGUUUUUCCUUGCUGGUUCGAAUUUUUUUUCUUCAGGUGCUGCUUGUCUUGUUCCUCCCACUGAGAUAAUUUGCGUUGGAUACAAGUUUGGCCGUGAACCUUUCGGGCCAGCGUAUGGCAUUCAAGUUCCGAAAGGUUCUGACGGUUUACCCGAGACUGUUAAUUGGCUUGUUGUGCCUGGGUUGUUUCACAGAGCAAAGACCAGCGCCAUUGUGGUGGGUGCUACAUUGUUGCUGGGCUUGGCAGCAUAUCUUCUUUGAACUAUCUGCUGAACAGGGCAAGUAUUUGUCUUUCGGCCCAACACAUAUUGGACGCGAAUACUGUGACCAAUCAUGGUUGCGAAGGUGGUUGGCCAGAGAAUGUAUUUGACUUCAUCAUCAGAAACGGUGGGGUCAUAUCUGAGAAUGAUUACCCAUACUGUGCUAUCAGAGGUCCCUGCAAGGCUGUUGAGGCUGCGGGAGUUACUAUUGCUAACUGGGCGGCUGUAGAACCGACGGAAGAAGCUGUGAAGUAUGCAGUUGCUUACCAGCCCGUUGUGGCAUCAAUCUACACUGACAGCAAAUUUAUGACUUACCAAAAGGAUUUCCUUAUUGUUCCUAAAAACCAUGGUCCAGUAGACCACUCUGUUCUUCUAAUCGGAUAUGGUAAGUGCCCAUGACAGGGCCAAUGUUGGAUCGGUAUGAAUUCAUUCGAGGAGCCAUGGGGCAUGACAUGUCUCCACUACAACAACAUUUUCUAUAUACCAAGGAAUACGUGUCAUGUGGGGGGAGCCUUUGGAGUGCUGUCCGAUGUUGUUCUUCCCCUGGGAGCUUCUAUGGUUCUUAAGGUUAAAACUCGAAGUGAGAGCUGCCCUUUGUUUCAAGUAGGUGGGCAUACCUGACAGCUGAUGCUUCUGGCGGCUCGUCCCAGUUCACUUUUCUUUUGGUUCCAAAACUACUUGUCCCAUGGAGUUUGAGUUCUGUUUGGAGUCUUGGCUCUGAGCACCUGAUAAACCUGUGAUCUGAUGCUGCACUUAUACCAUCGUGUCUUGACUCUUGAGUCAUGUAUUACAUCCGUCCCAAAUUACGAGAUUUAGCUAGAUACAUUUGUAUCUACACAAAUGAAGACAAAUAAUUUGGGACGGACGGAGUAUAAACAGAAUGAUGUUGGGCAGCGGAAAUUUGUUUUGGCUCUAGGUUUCAUAUGCACUUAAAUCUGGAUCGACUA